rnacentral:rRNA from 1 species
CCCUUAGAUGUCCGGGGCCGCACGCGCGCUACACUGAAGGAAUCAGCGUGGCUUUCACCCUGACCCGAAAGGGUUGGGAAACCCGUUGAAUCUCCUUCGUGAUAGGGAUUGGGGCUUGAAAUUGUUCCCCAUGAACGAGGAAUUCCCAGUAAGCGCGAGUCAUAAGCUCGCGUUGAUUACGUCCCUGCCCUUUGUACACACCGCCCGUCGCUACUACCGAUUGAACGGUUUAGUGAGGGCCUCGGAUUGGUCUCGGCCCGCUCUUUACCGGGCGGCGCCGUUGGUCGAGAAGACGCUCGAACUUGAUCGUUUAGAGGAAGUAAAAGUCGUAACA